AUGCAAACGAGCUUGGAUUGCGAAUCCUUAUAGGUGGUGCUGUGAGGGAGGCUUCUGUGCUCGGCUACAGUGUUACUCCACUUUUUUCAUACUACUCUUGCCAUGGACCUGUUUUCAGAGUCUUGCUCCAAAUGAAUCGAGGGAAGCUACCGGAGAAGAGGGAUUAUGGUUUCAUCUGCUACUGUAAUCGCUGUGGAAAUUCUCAAGCAUUCUAAUGGGAUAAACUUGGUCAAAUCAGUUGUCCUUGCAAUAACACGAUAAAAGAUGCUGCAUCACUUGCUGA